GGCACGGUACGCAAACUGGCAAAGCGGCGAAGCUCAAACCUUCGUGCCUGUGGGUUCGACUCCCACUCGUGCUA
rnacentral:tRNA from 1 species